UCCAUGCAGUCGAGCGAGCUCUUCGGAGCUAGCGGCGGACGGGUUAGUAACGCGUGGGAACGUGCCCUUCACUGCGGAAUAGCCACUGGAAACGGUGAGUAAUACCGCAUACGCCCUUCGGGGGAAAGAUUUAUCGGUGAAGGAUCGGCCCGCGUUAGAUUAGAUAGUUGGUGGGGUAACGGCCUACCAAGUCUACGAUCUAUAGCUGGUUUUAGAGGAUGAUCAGCAACACUGGGACUGAGACACGGCCCAGACUCCUACGGGAGGCAGCAGUGGGGAAUCUUGGACAAUGGGCGCAAGCCUGAUCCAGCCAUGCCGCGUGAGUGAUGAAGGCCUUAGGGUCGUAAAGCUCUUUCGCCAGAGAUGAUAAUGACAGUAUCUGGUAAAGAAACCCCGGCUAACUCCGUGCCAGCAGCCGCGGUAAUACGGAGGGGGUUAGCGUUGUUCGGAAUUACUGGGCGUAAAGCGCACGUAGGCGGAUCAGAAAGUUGGGGGUGAAAUCCCGGGGCUCAACCCCGGAACUGCCUCCAAAACUCCUGGUCUUGAGUUCGAGAGAGGUGAGUGGAAUUCCGAGUGUAGAGGUGAAAUUCGUAGAUAUUCGGAGGAACACCAGUGGCGAAGGCGGCUCACUGGCUCGAUACUGACGCUGAGGUGCGAAAGUGUGGGGAGCAAACAGGAUUAGAUACCCUGGUAGUCCACACCGUA
rnacentral:rRNA from 1 species